rnacentral:snRNA from 1 species
GUGCUUGCUUCUGCAGCACACAUACUAACAUUAGAAUGAUACAGAGAUUAGCAUGACCUCUGCUCCAAGAUGACACACAAAUUCAGGAAGCUUUCCAUAUGUUU